UACGUAGGGUGCGAGCGUUAAUCGGAAUUACUGGGCGUAAAGGGCGCGUAGGCGGUUAGAUAAGUGAGAUGUGAAAGCCCUGGGCUUAACCUAGGAAUUGCAUCUUAUACUGGUUGACUAGAGUACUGUAGAGGGUAGUGGAAUUUCCGGUGUAGCGGUGAAAUGCGUAGAGAUCGGAAGGAACACCAGUGGCGAAGGCGGCUACCUGGACAGAUACUGACGCUGAGGCGCGAGAGCGUGGGGAGCAAACAGG
rnacentral:rRNA from 1 species